rnacentral:lncRNA from 1 species
AGAAACUGGAGAAGCAGGUAGGGCCAGAGCUACAGGCCCAUGAAGAAGGAUGACAGGAGGGGAAGAAUGGCUUCAGGGGAGCAGCUGCUCACACAAAGGACACCCGGACUCCGGGGUGUCACGGCACGCUGUCAUUGUUUGCUGCUUUCUCAACACCUUUCUUCUGUCCAGAGUGCUGCCUGACAAGGAGUUUUAAAAAUUAUACAACUGUGAUUUCCCUUGCUCUUUUAUUCCUCCCUCUCUAAACAUGAAAGGAAGUGUAACGUG